rnacentral:lncRNA from 1 species
CGGUCGCGUUUUCGGUCGCAUUGCGUUUAUCGUGGUUGCGGACAUAACGGAUGCUAUUGCGGUCAUUGCAGGUAUCGCGGUCGUGAAUUUUACAUUACUUAUUAUGUAUUGCGGGUAUAGCGGGUUUCGGCAGUAGCGGUUUCGGACGGUGCCGCUACCGCUAUAUAACGGCCGCUAUUUCGGUAACGGACCGCUAUUUAAAUCCCUGGUAACAACUAUGCAAGCCACACUUACAAAUGAUCAAAGUAACACGUUAUGUGACGUAUAAGGCUAAAAGAACACCUGCCUGUCAAAAGGGUUCGAAACGCCUCUGGUCUACUUGUAGAAGGCUGCAUAACGAACAUAGACACUUUAAGCUUGAAAGCUCCUAUCAAAAAUAGAAAACAACCACAAUAGCAGAGGACCG